GGGCCCGCACAAGCGGUGGAGCAUGUGGUUUAAUUCGACGCAACGCGAAGAACCUUACCAGGGCUUGACAUCAAGUGAAAGACCUAGAGAUAGGUCCCUCUCUUCGGAGACACGAAGACAGGUGGUGCAUGGUUGUCGUCAGCUCGUGUCGUGAGAUGUUGGGUUAAGUCCCGCAACGAGCGCAACCCCUAUUGUUAGUUGCCAGCAUGUAAUGAUGGGCACUCUAGCGAGACUGCCGUGGACAACACGGAGGAAGGCGGGGAUGACGUCAAAUCAUCAUGCCCCUUAUGUCCUGGGCUACACACGUGCUACAAUGGACGGUACAAAGGGCAGCGAAGCCGCGAGGUGGAGCAAAUCCCAUAAAGCCGUUCUCAGUUCGGAUUGUAGUCUGCAACUCGACUACAUGAAGUCGGAAUCGCUAGUAAUCGCAGGUCAGCACACUGCGGUGAAUACGUUCCCGGGCCUU
rnacentral:rRNA from 1 species